rnacentral:rRNA from 1 species
CUACGGGCUGCUGCAGUGAGGAAUAUUGCACAAUGGGGGGAACCCUGAUGCAGCAACGCCGCGUGGAGGAUGACGCAUUUCGGUGUGUAAACUCCUUUUAUAUGUCAAGAAAAUGACGGUAGCAUAUGAAUAAGCACCGGCUAACUCCGUGCCAGCAGCCGCGGUAAUACGGAGGGUGCAAGCGUUACUCGGAAUCACUGGGCGUAAAGGACGCGUAGGCGGGUUGGAAAGUCAGGUGUGAAAUCCUACAGCUUAACUGUAGAACUGCACUUGAAACUUCUAAUCUAGAGUAUGGGAGGGGGAGAUGGAAUUAGUGGUGUAGGGGUAAAAUCCGUAGAGAUCACUAGGAAUACCUAAAGCGAAGGCAAUCUCCUGGAACAUUACUGACGCUAAGGCGUGAAAGCGUGGGGAGCAAACAGGAUUAGAUACCCGAGUAGUC